rnacentral:rRNA from 3 species
GAUGGGAGCUUGCUCCCUGAUGUUAGCGGCGGACGGGUGAGUAACACGUGGGUAACCUGCCUGUAAGACUGGGAUAACUCCGGGAAACCGGGGCUAAUACCGGAUGGUUGUUUGAACCGCAUGGUUCAAACAUAAAAGGUGGCUUCGGCUACCACUUACAGAUGGACCCGCGGCGCAUUAGCUAGUUGGUGAGGUAACGGCUCACCAAGGCAACGAUGCGUAGCCGACCUGAGAGGGUGAUCGGCCACACUGGGACUGAGACACGGCCCAGACUCCUACGGGAGGCAGCAGUAGGGAAUCUUCCGCAAUGGACGAAAGUCUGACGGAGCAACGCCGCGUGAGUGAUGAAGGUUUUCGGAUCGUAAAGCUCUGUUGUUAGGGAAGAACAAGUACCGUUCGAAUAGGGCGGUACCUUGACGGUACCUAACCAGAAAGCCACGGCUAACUACGUGCCAGCAGCCGCGGUAAUACGUAGGUGGCAAGCGUUGUCCGGAAUUAUUGGGCGUAAAGGGCUCGCAGGCGGUUUCUUAAGUCUGAUGUGAAAGCCCCCGGCUCAACCGGGGAGGGUCAUUGGAAACUGGGGAACUUGAGUGCAGAAGAGGAGAGUGGAAUUCCACGUGUAGCGGUGAAAUGCGUAGAGAUGUGGAGGAACACCAGUGGCGAAGGCGACUCUCUGGUCUGUAACUGACGCUGAGGAGCGAAAGCGUGGGGAGCGAACAGGAUUAGAUACCCUGGUAGUCCACGCCGUAAACGAUGAGUGCUAAGUGUUAGGGGGUUUCCGCCCCUUAGUGCUGCAGCUAACGCAUUAAGCACUCCGCCUGGGGAGUACGGUCGCAAGACUGAAACUCAAAGGAAUUGACGGGGGCCCGCACAAGC